rnacentral:rRNA from 1 species
ACUUAAGCAUAUCAAUAAGCGGAGGAAAAGAAACCAACAGGGAUUGCCUUAGUWACGGCGAGUGAAGCGGCAAAAGCUCAAAUUUGAAAUCUGGCACCUUCGGUGUCCGAGUUGUAAUUUGAAGAAGGUAACUUUGGAGUCAGCUCUUGUCUAUGUUCCUUGGAACAGGACGUCACAGAGGGUGAGAAUCCCGUGCGAUGAGAUGUCUGAUUCUAUGUAAAGUGCUUUCGAAGAGUCGAGUUGUUUGGGAAUGCAGCUCUAAGUGGGUGGYAAAUUCCAUCUAAAGCUAAAUAUUGGCGAGAGACCGAUAGCGAACAAGUACAGUGAUGGAAAGAUGAAAAGAACUUUGAAAAGAGAGUGAAAAAGUACGUGAAAUUGUUGAAAGGGAAGGGUUUGAGAUCAGACUUGGUAUUUUGUAUGUCUUGCUUUCGGGUGGGGCCUCUACAGUUUACUGGGCCAGCAUCGGUUUGGACGGUAGGAUAAUGACAUUGGAAUGUGGCACCACUUCGGUGGUGUGUUAUAGACUUUGUUGAUACUGCCUGUCUAGACCGAGGAACUGCGUCUUUGMCUAGGAUGCUGGCAUAAUGAUCUUAAACCGCCCGUCUG